rnacentral:rRNA from 1 species
GAUGAACGCUAGCUACAGGCUUAACACAUGCAAGUCGAGGGGUAACGAGAGGGAAGCUUGCUUUCCUUGUCGACGACCGGCGCACGGGUGAGUAACGCGUAUCCAACCUGCCCCCAACUAGGGAAUAACCCUGCGAAAGUAAGACUAAUACCCUAUAAUUUCCUCAGAUGUCAUCUGACGAGGAAUAAAGAUUUAUCGGUUGUGGAUGGGGAUGCGUCUGAUUAGCUUGUUGGCGGGGUAACGGCCCACCAAGGCAACGAUCAGUAGGGGUUUUGAGAGGAAGGUCCCCCACAGUGGAACUGAGACACGGUCCAAACUCCUACGGGAGGCAGCAGUGAGGAAUAUUGGUCAAUGGGCGGAAGCCUGAACCAGCCAAGUAGCGUGCAGGAUGACGGCCCUAUGGGUUGUAAACUGCUUUUAUACAGGAAUAAAGUUAGCCACGUGUGGUUAUUUGUAGGUACUGUAUGAAUAAGGACCGGCUAAUUCCGUGCCAGCAGCCGCGGUAA